UGGCUUAAAAGGGGUUCUAACUCCCACCCAUGUGAACUUACCUUUUGUUGCCUCGGCAGAAGUUAUAGGAUCUCUUAUAGCUGCUGCCGGUGGACCAUUAAACUCUUGUUAUUUUAUGUAAUCUGAGCGUCUUAUUUUAAUAAGUCAAAACUUUCAACAACGGAUCUCUUGGUUCUGGCAUCGAUGAAGAACGCAGCGAAAUGCGAUAAGUAAUGUGAAUUGCAGAAUUCAGUGAAUCAUCGAAUCUUUGAACGCACAUUGCGCCCAUUAGUAUUCUAGUGGGCAUGCCUGUUCGAGCGUCAUUUCAACCCUUAAGCCUAGCUUAGUGUUGGGAAUCUACUUCUCUUAGGAGUUGUAGUUCCUGAAAUACAACGGCGGAUUUGUAGUAUCCUCUGAGCGUAGUAAUCUUUUUCUCGCUUUUGUUAGGUGCUAUAACUCCCAGCCGCUAAACCCCCAAUUUUUUGUGGUUGACCUCGGAUCAGGUAGGAAUACCCGCUGAACUUAAGCAUAUCAAUAAGGCGGAGGAA
rnacentral:rRNA from 1 species